rnacentral:rRNA from 1 species
CGUGAGGGAAAGGUGAAAAGAACCCCGGGAGGGGAGUGAAAGAGAACCUGAAACCGUAUGUCUACAAGCAGUCGGAGCGAAAGCGACGGCGUGCCUAUUGAAGAAUGAACCAACGAGUUACGUGCACUAGCGAGGUUAAGUGGAAGACACGGAGCCGGAGCGAAAGCGAGUCUUAAGAGGGCGGAUAGUUAGUGUACAUAGACCCGAAACCGCAGUGAUCUACCCAUGUCCAGGUUGAAGCGCAGGUAAAAUUGCGUGGAGGACCGAACCUGUGAGCGUUGAAAAGCUUUAGGAUGAGAUGUGGGUAGCGGUGAAAUUCCAAUCGAACGCGGAGAUAGCUGGUUCUCCCCGAAAUAGCUUUAGGGCUAGCCUCAGGCAGUAAGUAUAGGCGGUAGAGCACUGAUCGGGCUAGGGGCCGUAAAGGUUACCGAACCCUGUCAAACUCCGAAUGGAUAUACUGCAGAGCCUGGGAGUCAGACUACGAGUGAUAAGAUCCGUGGUCAAAAGGGAAACAGCCCAGACCACCAGCUAAGGUCCCCAAUGCCGUACUAAGUGGAGAAGGAUGUGGGGUCUCUAAAACAACCAGGAUGUUGGCUUAGAAGCAGCCACCAUUUAAAGAGUGCGUAAUAGCUCACUGGUCGAGAGACCCUGCGCCGAAGAUUACCGGGGCUAAAGUACGGAACCGAAGCUGUGGCUACGAUAGAAAUAUCGUGGGGUAGGGGAGCGUUGUCUGAGGGCAGAAGUCGUACUGGAAGGUACGGUGGACUUCAGAGAAGUGAGAAUGUUGGUAUGAGUAGCGAAAAGAAAGGUGAGAAUCCUUUCCACCGAAAGCAUAAGGAUUCCUGGGCAACGAUCGUCGUCCCAGGGUAAGUCGGGACCUAAUCCGAGGCAGAGAGCGUAGGAGAUGGACAACUGGCAGAUAUUCCAGUACCGGUAAUGAUUGUUUGAGCGAAGGAGUGACACAGGAGGGCAGGCAGGCAGGAGAUUGGAAGUUCCUGUACAAGCGUGUAGGAUGGGUUACAGGCAAAUCCGUAACCUGAAAGUCUGAGGCGUGAUGUGGAGAGAAUAGAGAUAUUCUUGAAGCUGUUGACCCCACACUGUCGAGAAAAGCUUCUAGUGAGAGAAUUACCGCCCGUACCGUAAACCGACACAGGUAUGCGGGGAGAGAAUCCUAAGGUGCGCGGGAGAACCCUCGUUAAGGAACUCGGCAAAAUGUACCCGUAACUUCGGGAUAAGGGUAGCCGGCAUUGUGAAGGAAUUAACUUCCGGAGCAUAGACCGGUCGCAGAGAAGAGGCCCAAGCGACUGUUUACCACAAACACAGGUGCCUGCUAAAGAGAAAUCUGACGUAUAGGUGCUGACACCUGCCCAGUGCCGGAAGGUUAAGGAAGGAUGUUCGGAUUAGUCCAAAGCAUUCGACCGAAGCCCCGGUGAACGGCGGCCGUAACUAUAACGGUCCUAAGGUAGCGAAAUUCCUUGUCGGGUAAG